AACGCCGAGUGUGUGAACAACAUAGGAAGUUAUACGUGUGUAUGCCUAGCUGGAUAUACUGGUAAUGGAUUUGACUGCGUUGAUAUCGACGAAUGUACAUCGGGCACCCACGUCUGUCAUGUCAACGCCGAGUGUGUGAACAACAUAGGAAGUUAUACGUGUGUAUGCCUAGCUGGAUAUACUGGUAAUGGAUUUGACUGCGUUGAUAUCGACGAAUGUACAUCGGGCACCCACGUCUGUCAUGUCAACGCCGAGUGUGUGAACAACAUAGGAAGUUAUACGUGUGUAUGCC